UUAUGUAAAUUUAUUUAUUCAUAUUUUAUAAUUAUUUAGUAUAAACAGUCUAAUUUAUAGUUUGAAUAGGUGAUAAAUACAAAAACUCUCACUGUGAUAUAUAUUUUAGUAUUUUUCAUAAUAAUUAUGGACUCAACGUUACUACGGUAAAGAUUAAUUGAGCUCUAUUAACUGAACGGAGCCAAGGAAACGAACAAUCUAUUUUGCUUUUAACGACGACGUUUGACAAAUGACAGCUGUACACAAGAUAGGUUAACUCUAAAGAUUUGAAUUAGUCUAUAGAUUUUUGGGCGUCAAAUAUUUGAAUUACGUAAUUUCAAUAAUAAUAAUGGGAAAUUUAAACGAAAAAGUCGAUGCAGCGUCUAGUAACACAGUUGAAGAACCAGCCGAACCGAAAAAAUUGAAGCCGUGUUGUGCUUGUCCAGAAACAAAAAAAGUUAGAGAUGCUUGUAUUAUAGAGAAUGGUGAAGAGAACUGCCAACAAUUUAUUGAAGCACACAAAGAGUGUAUGCGAAAAUUGGGUUUUAAAAUAUGAAUAACAUGUAUAUAUAAGUGUUAGUGUAAAUAAUAAAUAUUUAUUAU